rnacentral:rRNA from 1 species
CAGCCGCCGCGGGAAUACGUAGGUCCCGAGCGUUGUCCGGAUUUAUUGGGCGUAAAGGGAGCGCAGGCGGUUUAGUAAGUCUGAAGUUAAAGGCAUUGGCUCAACCAAUGUAUGCUUUGGAAACUGUUAGACUUGAGUGCAGGAGGGGAGAGUGGAAUUCCAUGUGUAGCGGUGAAAUGCGUAGAUGUAUGGAGGAACACCGGUGGCGAAAGCGGCUCUCUGGUCUGUCACUGACGCUGAGGCUCGAAAGCGUGGGUAGCGAACAGGAUUAGAUACCCGAGUAGUCCCUGUCUCUUAUACA